GGCACUUUGGCGGAGUGGUUAACGCGCUGGCCUGCUAUUGGAACUGUACAUGUCACAUGUACUCAACUGUAUAGCCAGUUCCUUCGGGAGCGUGUGUUCGAAUCACACAGGUGUCG
rnacentral:tRNA from 1 species